AAAGAUUAAGCCAUGCAUGUCUAAGCAAACUCUUGAAUGGUGAAGCCGCGAAUGGCUCAUUACAACAGCCAUAGUUUAUUAGAUCUCUACAUCCUACUUGGAUAGCUGUGGUAAUUCUAGAGCUAAUACACGCGUCAAGCUCGGACCUUACGGAACGAGCGCAUUUGUUAGUACAAACCAAUCGGGCCUCGGUCCGCCAUUUGGUGAAUCUGAAUAACUUUGCUGAUCGCACGGUCUCGUACCGGCGACAAAUCUUUCAAGUGUCUGCCUUAUCAACUUUCGAUGGUAGUUUAUACGCCUACCAUGGUUGUAACGGGUAACGGAGAAUAAGGGUUCGACUCCGGAGAGGGCGCCUGAGAAACGGCUACCACAUCCAAGGAAGGCAGCAGGCGCGCAAAUUACCCACUCCCAGCACGGGGAGGUAGUGACGAAAAAUAACGAGGCGGUUCUCUAUGAGGCCCGCUAUCGGAAUGGGUACAAUUUAAAUCCUUUAACGAGGAUCUAUUGGAGGGCAAGUCUGGUGCCAGCAGCCGCGGUAAUUCCAGCUCCAAUAGCGUAUAUUAAAGUUGUUGUGGUUAAAAAGCUCGUAGUUGGAUCUUCGUCUGGCUGAUGUGGUCCCCCUAAUGGGCGGUACUAUGUCGGCUGGACUACUCAUUCGGUUUUCUCUAGAUGCUCUUAACUGAGUGUCUUGAGUGGCCGGAACGUUUACUUUGAAAAAAUUAGAGUGCUCAAAGCAGGCGCUACGCCUGAACAUUCGUGCAUGGAAUAAUGGAAAAAGGUCUUUGCAGCCUUUUAAUGGGUUAUCCCUGUAAGGAAAUGAUCCAACGGGGACAAAACGGGGGGCAUUCCUAUUUGCGAAGUUUAAAGGGGAAAAUUCUUGGGAUCGCCCCAAGAACGGACUUAUUGCGAAAAGCAUUUUGCCAA
rnacentral:rRNA from 1 species